rnacentral:tRNA from 1 species
CGUAGCUCAACGGCAGAGCAUUCGACUGUUAAUCGAACGGUUGCUGGUUCGAAUCCAGCCG